rnacentral:lncRNA from 1 species
UGAUGAAAAAUAUUUUUGACAAUGUUUAGUGCAAAUAUAGUUGUUUUAAGAGCUAGCACAACACACCUAUUUAUAUGACCAAAUAAAAUGAGGUGCGUAUGAAAUAAAAUAAAAUGGCCGUAGUAAUUCACUUGAAUGCAAUGACUAUGCCAUUUGAAUAAUGUUCUUGAAAGCUAGCCGUUGUGUCAAAAUAGGAAACACCAUUAGAUGCAAAUUUAAGACAUGAAGUAUUGUGCCAACGGAUACAAAA